ACCGGCAGCUCAAGUGGUGGCCAUUAUUAUUGGGCCUAAAGCGUUCGUAGCCGGUUUGAUAAGUCUCUGGUGAAAUCCCGCAGCUUAACUGUGGGACUUGCUGGAGAUACUAUCAGACUUGAGGUCGGGAGAGGUUAGGGGUACUCCCAGGGUAGCGGUGAAAUGCAAUAAUCCUGGGGGGAAGAACUGUGGCGAAGGCGCCUAACUGGAACGAACCUCUCGGUGAGUAACGAAAGCCAGGGGUGCGAACGG
rnacentral:rRNA from 1 species